GUGAUGUCGGUCAAUUGCUUUAUUGAAAAAAAAAAUUUGGAUUCUUACUAUCAGAGAUACAUGCACUCCAGUUAAGAUGGCCAUCAUUCCCCCAUCUUCCCCUACAUCAUAUCAGGGUUAUCUUCAAUAUUAGAAGACUACCUAGUGAUUAUUAUAUUCAUAAUUAAAGUAUAUAUUAUUCAAUUACUAGGCAUAUAAUAUUAGCGUGUGUUAUGAUUUUCAUUGGUUGGCAAGAAUAGUCGGUAAAGAGUCUUUUGAUUUGAUUGAACCUGUUAUACCCUCCAUAAUAUUUAGCGACGCACAUUUUACUUCCGACUCUCCAAGACCUAUGGAUACCACCAAAACUAAUUGUCAUUCAAGUUGGUGGUAUACAUUUGAGUCCACCAUAAAAAAGUACUUGACGUACACACAAUUCGUUUAUAAAUUAAAAGAUCGUAAUAAACCACUAGCGAGAUGCGAGAAGACGCAGAUAAUGUUAUUGACUUUAAGUUUUAUAGUAGCUUUUUAAUUCACUCUAAUAUAGUUAUAUAUUUAAUACAAAAUCGGAAGGAUUGAACAUGUAUUGUUGUGUUAUGUAUACGGAAACGGAACAAAUUUGAAUGCAAAUUGCAUUUUUUCUAAAUGUCCGAAAACAUUGUUUUCCAAACAGAAAAAGUUCAUUUCAUACAUCAAGCAAUUAAAAAAUGAAAUUUCUAUUUUGCAUUUUUAAAACUUUUUUACU